AGUGGUUAAGUGCUCAGUUGCUAACUGAAAGGUUGGUGGUUCGAACCCACCAGCCACUC
rnacentral:tRNA from 1 species